AAAGCAAGCCUGAUGAAUCAAUUAGAUGUCUGAGAUGGAUUUUCCAUUCCUGAGUGUUAAAACCUUGAGGCAUUUAUAAUUUUUUCUAACUUGGAAUUU
rnacentral:snoRNA from 1 species